rnacentral:rRNA from 1 species
CACGGGUGAGUAAUACAUCGGAACGUGUCUUCUAGUGGGGGAUAACUGCCCGAAAGGGCAGCUAUACCGCAUGAGACCUGAGGGUGAAAGCGGGGGAUCGUAAGACCUCGCGCUGGAAGAGCGGCCGAUGUCCGAUUAGCUAGUUGGUGAGGUAAAGGCUCACCAAGGCGACGAUCGGUAGCUGGUCUGAGAGGACGACCAGCCACACUGGGACUGAGACACGGCCCAG